rnacentral:rRNA from 1 species
ACAAGCGGUGGAGCAUGUGGUUAAUUCGACGCAACGCGAAGAACCUUACCAGGGCUUGACAUCCCCUGACCGCGUAUGAAAGUACGUUUUCACCCUCGGGUGACAGGGAGACAGGUGGUGCAUGGUUGUCGUCAGCUCGUGUCGUGAGAUGUUGGGUUAAGUCCCGCAACGAGCGCAACCCUCGCCUUUAGUUGCCAGCAUUCAGUUGGGCACUCUAGAGGGACUGCCGGUGUCAAACCGGAGGAAGGUGGGAUGACGUCAAGUCCUCAUGGCCUUUAUGUCUAGGGCUACACACGUACUACAAUGGCCGGUACAAAGGGCAGCCACUCAGCGAUGAGGCGCUAAUCCCAUAAAGCCGGUCUCAGUCCGGAUCGCAGUCUGCAACUCGACUGCGUGAAGUUGGAAUCGCUAGUAAUCGUAGAUCAGCAUGCUACGGUGAAUACGUUCCCGGGCCUU